AACGAACGCUGGCGGCAGGCCUAACACAUGCAAGUCGAACGCCCGUAGCAAUACGGGAGUGGCAGACGGGUGAGUAACGCGUGGGAACGUGCCCUUCGGUUCGGAAUAACUCAGGGAAACUUGAGCUAAUACCGGAUACGUCCGUAAGGAGAAAGAUUUAUCGCCGAAGGAUCGGCCCGCGUCGGAUUAGCUAGUUGGUGAGGUAACGGCCCACCAAGGCGACGAUCCGUAGCUGGUCUGAGAGGANGAUCAGCCACACUGGGACUGAGACACGGCCCAGACUCCUACGGGAGGCAGCAGUGGGGAAUAUUGGACAAUGGGCGAAAGCCUGAUCCAGCCAUGCCGCGUGAGGGAUGACGGCCU
rnacentral:rRNA from 1 species